rnacentral:rRNA from 1 species
CCUCCCUCUUUCUCCGUGCUUCACCCCUGCAAGUCGAACGGAAAGGCCCUGCUUUUGUGGGGUGCUCGAGUGGCGAACGGGUGAGUAACACGUGAGUAACCUGCCCUUGACUUUGGGAUAACUUCAGGAAACUGGGGCUAAUACCGGAUAGGAGCUCCUGCUUCAUGGUGGGGGUUGGACAGUUUCGGCGGUUGGGGAUGGACUCGCGGCUUAUCCGCUUGUUGGUGGGGUAGUGGCUUACCAAGGCUUUGACGGGUAGCCGGCCUGAGAGGGUGACCGGCCACAUUGGGACUGAGAUACGGCCCAGACUCCUACGGGAGGCAGCGGUGGGGAAUAUUGCACAAUGGGCGGAAGCCUGAUGCAGCAACGCCGCGUGCGGGAUGACGGCCUUCGGGUUGUAAACCGCUUUCGCCUGUGACGAAGCGUGAGUGACGGUAAUGGGUAAAGAAGCACCGGCUAACUACGUG